rnacentral:rRNA from 1 species
ACCGCCAUAUCACAAUGAAAACACCUUUUCUAUUCCGAUCACCGAAGUUAAGCAAUGUCGGGCCCGGUCAGUACUUGGGAGGGUGACCAUUGGAACACCGGGUGCUGUAGGCU